GGGCUCACACAAGCGGUGGAGGAUGUGGCUUAAUUCGAGGCUACGCGAAGAACCUUAUCCUGGUCUUGACAUGUUUGAGAAUCCUCCCGAAAGGGAGGGGUGCCCUCGGGGAGCUCUUACACAGGUGCUGCAUGGCUGUCGUCAGCUCGUGUCGUGAGAUGUCGGGUUAAGUCCCUUAACGAGCGAAACCCUUGUCCCCUAGUUGCCAGCGAGUUAUGUCGGGGACUCUAGGAGACUGCCGGUGUUAAAACCGGAGGAAGGUGGGAUGACGUCAAGUCUCAUGGCCUUUAUGACCAGGGCUGCACACGUCCCUACAAUGGCGCGUACAAAGGGAAGCGAACUCGCGAGAGCAAGCA
rnacentral:rRNA from 1 species